CAGAGGGUGCGAGCGUUAAUCGGAAUUACUGGGCGUAAAGCGUGCGUAGACGGUUAUUUAAGUCGGGUGUGAAAGCCCCGGGCUCAACCUGGGAAUUGCAUUCGAGACUGAAUAGCUAGGGUACGGUAGAGGGAAGCGGAAUUUCCGGUGUAGCGGUGAAAUGCGUAGAUAUCGGAAGGAACAUCAGUGGCGAAAGCGGCUUCCUGGACCAGUACCGACGUUCAGGCACGAAAGCGUGGGAGCAAACAGGAUUAGAUACCCUGGUAGUCCACGCCAUAAACGAUGAGGACUAGACGUUGGAGGGGUAAGCCUUUCAGUGUCGUAGCUAACGCGCUAAGUCCUCCGCCUGGGGAGUACGGCCGCAAGGUUG
rnacentral:rRNA from 1 species